UACCCUUUGAUUAACAUUAGUGUCGCCGCACACGGGCCACACGCGACAGCCACAAACGCCGCCACAAGAAUCAAGAAAAGGC